rnacentral:rRNA from 1 species
GAUGAACGCUGGCGGCGUGCCUAAUACAUGCAAGUCGAGCGAACAGACGAGGAUCUUGCUCCUCUGACGUUAGCGGCGGACGGGUGAGUAACACGUGGAUAACCUACCUAUAAGACUGGGAUAACUUCGGGAAACCGGAGCUAAUACCGGAUAAUAUAUUGAACCGCAUGGUUCAAUAGUGAAAGACGGUUUUGCUGUCACUUAUAGAUGGAUCCGCGCCGCAUUAGCUAGUUGGCAAGGUAACGGCUUACCAAGGCAACGAUGCGUAGCCGACCUGAGAGGGUGAUCGGCCACACUGGAACUGAGACACGGUCCAGACUCCUACGGGAGGCAGCAGUAGGGAAUCUUCCGCAAUGGGCGAAAGCCUGACGGAGCAACGCCGCGUGAGUGAUGAAGGUCUUCGGAUCGUAAAACUCUGUUAUUAGGGAAGAACAAAUGUGUAAGUAACUAUGCACGUCUUGACGGUACCUAAUCAGAAAGCCACGGCUAACUACGUG